GAUGAACGCUGACAGAAUGCUUAACACAUGCAAGUCUACUUGAACUUCGGUUUGGGUGGCGGACGGGUGAGUAACGCGUAAAGAACUUGCCUCACAGUUAGGGACAACAUUUGGAAACGAAUGCUAAUACCUGAUAUUAUGAUUUUAGGGCAUCCUAAAAUUAUGAAAGCUAUAUGCGCUGUGAGAGAGCUUUGCGUCCCAUUAGCUAGUUGGAGAGGUAACGGCUCACCAAGGCGAUGAUGGGUAGCCGGCCUGAGAGGGUGAACGGCCACAAGGGGACUGAGACACGGCCCUUACUCCUACGGGCGGCAGCAGUGGGGAAUAUUGGACAAUGGACCAAAAGUCUGAUCCAGCAAUUCUGUGUGCACGAUGACGUUUUUCGGAAUGUAAAGUGCUUUCAGUUGGGAAGAAAAAAAUGACGGUACCAACAGAAGAAGUGACGGCUAAAUACGUG
rnacentral:rRNA from 1 species